rnacentral:rRNA from 1 species
AGGCGGUUUGUCACGUCUGCUGUGAAAUCCCGAGGCUCAACCUCGGGCCUGCAGUGGGUACGGGCAGACUAGAGUGUGGUAGGGGAGACUGGAAUUCCUGGUGUAGCGGUGGAAUGCGCAGAUAUCAGGAGGAACACCGAUGGCGAAGGCAGGUCUCUGGGCCACUACUGACGCUGAGGAGCGAAAGCAUGGGGAGCGAACAGGAUUAGAUACCCUGGUAGUCCAUGCCGUAAACGUUGGGCACUAGGUGUGGGGCUCGUUCCACGAGUUCCGUACCGCAGCAAACGCAUUAAGUGCCCCGCCUGGGGAGUACGGCCGCAAGGCUAAAACUCAAAGGAAUUGACGGGGGCCCGCACAAGCGGCGGAGCAUGCUGAUUAAUUCGAUGCAACGCGAAGAACCUUACCAAGGCUUGACAUAUACCGAAAACUCAUGGAGACAUGGGGUCCGCAAGGGCGGUAUACAGGUGGUGCAUGGUUGUCGUCAGCUCGUGUCGUGAGAUGUUGGGUUAAGUCCCGCAACGAGCGCAACCCUCGUCCUAUGUUGCCAGCGCGUUAUGGCGGGGACUCAUAGGAGACUGCCGGGGUCAACUCGGAGGAAGGUGGGGAUGAGGUCAAAUCAUCAUGCCCCUUAUGUCUUGGGCUUCAAGCAUGCUACAAUGGCCGGUACAAAGGGCUGCGAUACCGUAAGGUGGAGCGAAUCCCAAAAAGCCGGUCUCAGUUCGGAUUGGGGUCUGCAACUCGACCCCAUGAAGUCGGAGUCGCUAGUAAUCGCAGAUCAGCAACGCUGC